rnacentral:rRNA from 1 species
UACGUAGGGGUCUAGCGUUGUCCGGAAUCAUUGGGCGUAAAGAGCUCGUAGGCGGUUCGGCAAGUCGGAUGUGAAAUCUCCACGCUCAACGUGGAGGGGCCACUCGAAACUGCCGUGACUCGAGUCCGGUAGGGGAGUGCGGAAUUCCCGGUGUAGCGGUGAAAUGCGCAGAUAUCGGGAGGAACACCAGUGGCGAAGGCGGCACUCUGGGCCGGAACUGACGCUGAGGAGCGAAAGCGUGGGUAGCAAACAGG